ACUUUUUAAAAAUGAUAAAGAUAUUUUUCAGAAUGUCGUACUGGAUUGAAAGAAAUCCUGUAAUUGUUCUUUUGAUGAUAAUAUCCUUGACAUAUAUUAAUGGCUUCGAAAAUUUGGCAUUAGCAUCAGUCACGUCAAAAUCUUCUACAGGACUGACAACUUACCAAGACCGACUGCACACACGUCGAGACUGGCUGGGUAUUUUCUUUACGUAUCUAAUACAACUUCAAAAAAAGACGGUCACCUUUGUUUCCAUGAGAUACAAACCGUUGCAGUGUCCUCCCAAUUGUCAAGAGAGACGCUGCGACAUACACACUGGUCAUUGUCUAGGAUGUUUACCGGGAUAUCAGGGACCAAGCUGUAAUCAAGUUUGUAAUAAACAAACGUACGGUCUGGAGUGUGCUCAUCGCUGUGGAAGGUGUGAAAACAACAAAUCUUGCCACAAUGUUAACGGCACUUGCCUUCGCGGAUGUGAAGUAGGAGUACAGGGUGACAGGUGUCAGAACGAAUGCCAAAUAGGUUAUUAUGGUAAAAACUGCAUCCAUCGAUGCAGCGCCUAUUGUUACGUGACCAGUAGAUGCGAUAGGUUUACAGGGGAGUGUGACGGAGGAUGUAAACCAGGCUGGAUCGGAAACACGUGCAAAGAAAAAUGCAAACCUGCGUAUUUUGGUCCGGACUGUAGCAGAAAAUGUGGCCAGUGUCUACGUGCUAAUGAGUGUAAUAAUGCAAACGGAAUCUGUUCAAAAGGGUGUUCUGAUGGAUUCAAGGGGGACUAUUGUAAAGAAGUGUGUCCAUCUAGAUUCUUCGGACCUAAUUGUUCAUUCACAUGUAGCAACUACUGUGAGGGAAAUGGAACAUGUAACCAUGUCACUGGAAUUUGUAACGAAGGUUGUAAAGAAGGAUUAAAUGGUCGUUUAUGUGGCAAAGGCACAUCAACAGAACUAUUAUCAUGUUUUAACAGCACACCUUUCGUCCUCUGCAUUGUUAUUGCCUUCAUUAUUGUCUUAUCUGGAACAGUCAUGAAUUGUCUUUUUUGGAAAAGAAAUAAUGAUAAAAUCCUACAAAAUAGUAAAGACCAGGCGAUGAAAAAGAAGACUGCUAAAUAUUUUUGA
rnacentral:sRNA from 1 species